rnacentral:rRNA from 1 species
CUUUACUGUAGCUUGGAAUUGAAUUUGGGUUUAUUUUGUGCAGCAUAGGUGGGAGGCUAAGAUUUUAUAUUUGCGGAUAUAUAGGAGCCACCAGUGAGAUACCACUCUAAUUAAACUAGAAUUCUAAUCUUGAUGCCGUUAUCCGGCAAAGAAACAGUUCCAGGUGGGCAGUUUGACUGGGGCGGUCGCCUCCUAAAAAGUAACGGAGGCGUGCAAAGGUUUCUUCAGGCUGGUCGGAAAUCAGUCGUAGAGUGUAAAGGCAUAAAGAAGCUUGACUGCAAGACUUACAAGUCGAGCAGAGACGAAAGUCGGCCUUAGUGAUCCGACAGUUCUGAGUGGAAAGGCUGUCGCUCAACGGAUAAAAGUUA